ACAAGCCUGAGAAACGGCUAGUAGGACUAAGGUCUGCAGCAGGCGCGAAACUUACACAAUGCUAGAUUUCAAAUAUAUUAGCGAUGUAGUGAAGAAAAAUAACGAUGUACUUGUUUUUAAACAAACUUGUACAAUUGGAAUGAGACGACCGUAAAACAGUCAGUCGAGUAACAAAUGGAGGGCAAGUCUGGUGCCAGCAGCCGCGGUAAUUCCAGCUCCAUUAGCAUACAUUAAAGUUGUUGCGGUUAAAAAGCUCGUAGUUGAAUUUUGGACGAGCUCUUGGGCGCGGCAGCCGUCAAGGCGAGUCGUUUCUUCGGAUUCACUCGCUGGUUGUCGUCGACCUGCGGAGCUCGUUGUUUCGUCACUUAAUCGAGUGCGAAGCGGGGCGGUGCGAUACACUGGAUACUUCGCGUACUCAGUCGCAACGCCAUGUUUACCUUGAGAAAAUUAGAGUGCUCAGAGCAGGCAGUUGGGAUGUAAAAGUCUCUUUAUGCUUGAAUAAUGUUGCAUGGAAUAAUAGAAUACGGCCUCGGUUCUAUUCUGUUGGUCUUAUAGAACAACAAACAAGUUGGUUAAGGCAAUCACGGUUGCUUGUUAGAGUGGUUCUUUGUGUUGCUUGUUGUCUUGGAUGUAAAAAUUCAAGUACCAUCAGCGCAAUAGCCAUCAAAGCUCUCUCAAACACACCAGCCACAAUCAACUGAGGCAAUGGUUAAAAGAAAUAGUCGCGGCGGCAUCAGUACUGCAUCGUGAGAG
rnacentral:rRNA from 1 species